GACAAUGCAUGGACGAGCGGAAUGGAUAACAACAUAUGUCUGCGGCAUGAGAACAGCAAAGACGCAUGACAAGUCCGUUCCGCAGGAGCAUCGUGAUCGCGUUUAUAAACGAAGGCAAGUCUCAUGAUAAAAAAUCUAAUUUUAAGGUAAAAACAAACCGCUCCAAAUGUAUUAAACGAAAAUUUGCAACCGUAGAAGCAUCAUCACUGACGAAUAACAGAUGGCUUUGACAAAUGAAAUGUAUUGAAGUAGAAAAAAUCAUAGUUUUGAAUUUAUAUAAAAAAGUUUACAUAGAUUAUGAAAGAAAACAUUCUUGAGUAUCGUCGCCGACCUGACCCGUGUAAAAUAAAAAAAAAGACAGAAAAACUCCCAUACAAAACGUAUGGCUUACACGGGUAGGCGGUUGCGUCGGUAUUUUU